ACGGGUGAGGAACACGUAGGAACCUGCCCAAAAGUGGGGGAUAACUAAGGGAAACUUUAGCUAAUACCGCAUAAUUCUCUGAGGAGAAAAGUUGCCCGUAAGGGUAGCGCUUUUGGAGGGGCCUGCGUCCGAUUAGUUAGUUGGUGAGGUAAUGGCUCACCAAGACUAUGAUCGGUAACUGGUCUGAGAGGACGACCAGUCACACUGGGACUGAGACACGGCCCAGACUCCUACGGGAGGCAGCAGUGGGGAAUCUUGGACAAUGGGGGCAACCCUGAUCCAGCGAUGCCGCGUGGGUGAAGAAGGCCUUCGGGUUGUAAAGCCCUUUAGGCUGGGAAGAAGAUUGCGGGAUGAAUAAUCCUGUAAUUUGACGGUACCAGCAGAAUAAGCACCGGCAAACUCUGUGCCAGCAGCCGCGGUAAUACAGAGGGUGCAAGCGUUAAUCGGAUUUACUGGGCGUAAAGGGCGCGUAGGCGGUUAUGUGAGUGUGAUGUGAAAGCCCCGGGCUCAACCUGGGAAGUGCAUCGCAAACGACAUAACUGGAGUAGGUGAGAGGGUGGCGGAAUUUCCGGUGUA
rnacentral:rRNA from 1 species